rnacentral:sRNA from 1 species
GGAGCUCACUGGCUUCGAGUUCCAUCGGAACUCCGAAGUUAAGCGAGUAGCGCGCGAGAGCACUCCCAUGAUGGGUGACCCACUGGGAAGUUCUCGUGUGAGUUCCCAGAAACAAAACCGUGAGGGCAUGGUCGGGGCCCAAAGCGGACAAUAUCGUGCUAAUAUCGUGCUACGAUGGUGGAGCGAGCCCGGGAAGUGAUACUCCCCGAGCUGGGAUGUGACAGAUUGGUAUCAAAGCCUAACCCUGACUGUGAUGUGUCGACGAGGACGUCGGGCCCCUAAAGAGGGUGGAUUGUAAGAUCCCACAUCGCCCAGGGAGAGUGAUCCUUAUAUGUAUAUUCUCAUCCCUACCUAGCACGAGGCCUUUUGGAAACUCACUGGCUUCGGGUUCCAUCCAAACUCUGAAGUUAAGCGAGUAGGGCGCGAGAGCACUCCCAUGAUGGGUGGCCCACUGAGAAGUUCUUGUGUGAGUUCC